rnacentral:rRNA from 1 species
UAGGGAAUCUUCGGCAAUGGGGGGAACCCUGACCGAGCAACGCCGCGUGAGUGAAGAAGGUUUUCGGAUCGUAAAGCUCUGUUGUUAAGGAAGAACGAGUGUGAGAAUGGAAAGUUCAUGCUGUGACGGUACUUAACCAGAAGGGGACGGCUAACUACGUGCCAGCAGCCGCGGUAAUACGUAGGUGGCAAGCGUUGUCCGGAAUUAUUGGGCGUAAAGCGCGCGCAGGUGGUUUAGAAAGUCUGAUGUGAAAGCCCACGGCUCAACCGUGGAGGGUCAUUGGAAACUAAUAAACUUGAGUGCAGGAGAGAAAAGUGGAAUUCCUAGUGUAGCGGUGAAAUGCGUAGAGAUUAGGAGGAACACCGGUGGCGAAAGCGGCUUUUUGGCCUGCAACUGACACUGAGGCGCGAAAGCGUGGGGAGCAAACAGG